UACGUAGGGGUCUAGCGUUGUCCGGAAUUAUUGGGCGUAAAGAGCUCGUAGGCGGCUCGUCGCGUCGACCGUGAAAACCCGCAGCUUAACUGCGGGCUUACGGUUGAUACGGGCGGGCUAGAGUUCGGUAGGGGAGACUGGAAUUCCUGGUGUAGCGGUGAAAUGCGCAGAUAUCAGGAGGAACACCGGUGGCGAAGGCGGGUCUCUGGGCCGAUACUGACGCUGAGGAGCGAAAGCGUGGGGAGCGAACAGG
rnacentral:rRNA from 1 species